UUUUUACCAUUAGGUUAGCCCCAUCCCACCCCAUCCCUGUUUCUACCAUAAGGUUAGCCCCAUCCCAUAUCUGUUUCUACCAUUAGGUUAGCCCCAUCCCAUAUCUGUUUUUACUAUUAGGUUAGCCCCAUCCCACCCCAUCCCUGUUUCUACCAUUAGGUUAGCCCCAUCCCAUAUCUGUUUUUACCAUUGGGUUAGCCCCAUCCCACCCCAUCCCUGUUUCUACCAUUAGGUUAGCCCCAUCCCAUAUCUGUUUUUACCAUUAGGUUAGCCCCACCCCAUAUCUGUUUUUACCAUUUUGUUAGCCCCAUCCCACCCCAUCUCUGUUUCUACCAUUAUGUGAGCCUCAUCCCACCCCAUCCCUGUUUCUACCAUUAGGUUAGCCCCAUCCCACAUAUGUUUCUACCAUUAGGUUAGCCCCAUCCCAUAUCUGUUUCUACCAUUAGGUUAGCCCCAUCCCAUAUCUGUUUUUACCAUUAGGUUAGCACCAUCCCACCC
ensembl:lncRNA